CCUACGGGAGGCAGCAGUGAGGAAUAUUGGUCAAUGGUCGGGAGACUGAACCAGCCAAGCCGCGUGAGGGAUGAAGGUACAGAGUAUCGUAAACCUCUUUUGUCAGGGAACAAAGGCGGGGACGUGUCCCCGGAUGAGUGUACCUGAAGAAAAAGCAUCGGCUAACUCCGUGCCAGCAGCCGCGGUAAUACGGAGGAUGCGAGCGUUAUCCGGUUUUAUUGGGUUUAAAGGGUGCGCAGGCGGUCUGUUAAGUCAGCGGUCAAAGCCCGGGGCUCAACCCCGGCCCGCCGUUGAAACUGGCAGUCUCGAGUUGGAGAGAAGUAUGCGGAAUGCGCGGUGUAGCGGUGAAAGGCAGAGAUAUCGCGCAGAACUCCGAUUGCGAAGGCAGCAUGCCGGCUCCACACUGACGCUGAGGCACGAAAGCGUGGGUAUCGAACAGGAUUAGAUACCCCAGUAGUC
rnacentral:rRNA from 1 species